GGUAAGGUGAUAUGAACCGUUAUAACCGGCGAUACCCGAAUGGGGAAACCCAGUGUGACUCGUCACACUAUCAUUAACUGAAUCCAUAGGUUAAUGAGGCGAACCGGGGGAACUGAAACAUCUAAGUACCCCGAGGAAAAGAAAUCAACCGAGAUUCCCCCAGUAGCGGCGAGCGAACGGGGAGGAGCCCAGAGCCUGAAUCAGCAUGUGUGUUAGUGGAAGCGUCUGGAAAGGCGCGCGAUACAGGGUGACAGCCCCGUACACAAAAGCGCAUGUGCUGUGAGCUCGAUGAGUAGGGCGGGACACGUGGUAUCCUGUCUGAAUAUGGGGGGACCAUCCUCCAAGGCUAAAUACUCCUGACUGACCGAUAGUGAACCAGUACCGUGAGGGAAAGGCGAAAAGAACCCCGGCGAGGGGAGUGAAAAAGAACCUGAAACCGUGUACGUACAAGCAGUGGGAGCCCCACCACCAAAGCAUUUGCUGUACCGCGUUGACGGAGCGAAGCGACGUCAAACCGAUAAAACAGCAGUGUAAAGUGAGCCGCAGGGCGCUUUGCGCGACAGCGCAAAGGCAGGCGGUUUCGCGUAGCGAAAGCGAAUGCUUUGGGGUGGGGUGACUGCGUACCUUUUGUAUAAUGGGUCAGCGACUUAUAUUCUGUAGCAAGGUUAACCGAAUAGGGGAGCCGGAGGGAAACCGAGUCUUAAUUGGGCGUUAAGUUGCAGGGUAUAGACCCGAAACCCGGUGAUCUAGCCAUGGGCAGGUUGAAGGUUGGGUAACACUAACUGGAGGACCGAACCGACUAAUGUUGAAAAAUUAGCGGAUGACCUGUGGCUGGGGGUGAAAGGCCAAUCAAACCGGGAGAUAGCUGGUUCUCCCCGAAAGCUAUUUAGGUAGCGCCUCGUGAAUUCAUCUCCGGGGGUAGAGCACUGUUUCGGCUAGGGGGCCAUCCCGGCUUACCAACCCGAUGCAAACUGCGAAUACCGGAGAAUGUUAUCACGGGAGACACACGGCGGGUGCUAACGUCCGUCGUGAAGAGGGAAACAACCCAGACCGCCAGCUAAGGUCCCAAAGUCAUGGUUAAGUGGGAAACGAUGUGGGAAGGCCCAGACAGCCAGGAUGUUGGCUUAGAAGCAGCCAUCAUUUAAAGAAAGCGUAAUAGCUCACUGGUCGAGUCGGCCUGCGCGGAAGAUGUAACGGGGCUAAACCAUGCACCGAAGCUGCGGCAGCGACACUGUGUGUUGUUGGGUAGGGGAGCGUUCUGUAAGCCUGUGAAGGUGUGUCGUGAGGCAUGCUGGAGGUAUCAGAAGUGCGAAUGCUGACAUAAGUAACGAUAAAGCGGGUGAAAAGCCCGCUCGCCGGAAGACCAAGGGUUCCUGUCCAACGUUAAUCGGGGCAGGGUGAGUCGACCCCUAAGGCGAGGCCGAAAGGCGUAGUCGAUGGGAAACGGGUUAAUAUUCCCGUACUUGGUGUUACUGCGAAGGGGGGACGGAGAAGGCUAUGUUGGCCGGG
rnacentral:rRNA from 2 species